UACAGAGGUCUCAAGCGUUGUUCGGAUUCAUUGGGCGUAAAGGGUGUGUAGGUGGCGCCGUAAGUCGGGUGUGAAAUUUCGGAGCUUAACUCCGAAACUGCAUUCGAUACUGCGGUGCUUGAGGACUGGAGAGGAGACUGGAAUUCAUGGUGUAGCAGUGAAAUGCGUAGAUAUCGUAAGGAAGACCAGUGGCGAAGGCGGGUCUCUGGACAGUUCCUGACGCUGAGGCACGAAGGCCAGGGGAGCAAACAGG
rnacentral:rRNA from 1 species